rnacentral:lncRNA from 1 species
AAGUUAGUCCGGACUUUAUCUGGCUGUUAGUACAGUGAACUGAAUCGAUCGUAUCAAGCCUUGCCAAGAUCUAGGCGUAUGUGGUGGGGUGGCUCCAUGAAUGAUCUGCUCAAACCUGAUCAAGCUCAGAGCAAGAAUUUAUUCCGGCAUUUAAUCGAACACUUUAUCAAGGUACUCAUGAAGUGUGAAUCUUCUCUUCUUGCUAUUGAGCUCAUGAGAAUGUGAAUGCAGGUGGCCUGAGGCAGCUAAAGCUUAUCAGUCUUCUGUGUCCUCCGGCCAUUUCAUGCAAGCUUACACUGGAAAUCU